rnacentral:SRP_RNA from 1 species
CGCGCGGGUAGGGCCGGGGGGCUCGCCCUCCCCCACACCCGAAACUGGGCGUAAGGCGGGGGCCAGUAACCCGCCCAGGGCCCUAGGGGCCCCGCGGCGGUCCCAGCCGACCAAUGACCCCCGUCCCGCGGGGCCGGCGGCGGCGGAGCCCCCUCCGGAGGGAGGAGGGCUACCGCCCUUGCCGGGGGAACUGGUCAGGCCCGGAAGGGAGCAGCCUAACCCCGGACGCCCGGCGUUCGCGGGGAAGCGGGGUGAGGCAACGGCUGGGGGUGCCGCCGCGGAGGCCUCUAGGGCUCUGGGCGGGGGCCGCGCG